AUACUUACCUGGCAGGAGAGAUACCAUGAUCAUGAAGGUGGUUUUCCCAGGGCGAGGCUUAUCCAUUGCACUCCGGAUGUGCGGACUCUUGCUGUCCAAUGAAAAGAUGCCUGUAUUACUCAUC
rnacentral:snRNA from 1 species